ACCUCGGUGAAAGGAUUUCAGUGGGAGAGGCCUCUGAUCUUGAGGAUGGGUUUGGAUUUUGUUUUUCCACCCUAGUGAAGGGAUUUCAGUGGGAGUGGCUCUGGGUUUGGGUUUGAGUUUGGGGUCGGGUUUGGGUUUGGGGUUGGGGUUUGGGUUUUCCACCUCGGUGAAGGGAUUUCAGUGGGAGUGGCUCUGGGGUCGGGUUUGGGUUUGGGGUCGGGUUUGGGUUUGGGGUCGGGUUUGGGUUCGAGGUUGGGGUUUGGGUUGCACGUCCCCUGACGAGCAGCGUGUCCCUGCAGAGUACGAGAAGGCGCAGUCCUCGCAGGACGCCGUCUCCUCCAUGAACCUCUUUGACCUGGGGGGGCAGUACCUGCGGGUGGGCAAGGCUGUGACCCCCCCCAUGCCCCUGCUGACCCCUGCCACACCUGGCGGGCUCCCACCUGCUGCUGCCGUGGCUGCUGCGGCCGCCACCGCCAAGAUCACGGCGCAGGAGGCCGUGGCAGGAGCUGCAGUUCUGGGCACGCUGGCCACCCCCGGGCUGGUGUCCCCUGCCCUGACCCUGGCCCAGCCCCUGGGGGCGCUGCCCCAGGCUGUGAUGGCUGCACAGGCACCGGGGGUCAUCACAGGUGGGUCCUGCUGCUGCUGCUGUGGCACCUGGGGGUGGCACCUGGGCGUGUCCUGUGUGUGUCCCCUCCUCCUGUCACCUGGGUGUGUCCCCUGCUGCUGGCACCUGUCUGUGUCCCAGUCUGUCCCCUCCUCCUGUCACCUGGCUGUGGCACCUGGGUAUGUCCCCUUUGUGUGCAUCCUCCUGCUGUCCCCUGGGUGUGUCCCCUGGGUGUGUCCCUUUCCUGCUGGCACCUUUGUCUGUGUGUCCCUUCUUCCUUUCACCUGGGUGUGUCCCCUUCCUCCUGUCCCCUGGGUGUGUCCUGGGUGUGUCACCUGGGUGUGUCCCUCCAUCCUGUCACCUGGCUGUGUCCCCUCCUCUUGUCACCUGGGUGUGUCCCUUGGGUGUGCCACCUUCUUCUUGCCCCCUGUAUGUUUGUCCCCUGCGUGUGUCCCCUCCUCCUGUCAUGAGGUGUCCCUGCCCCUCCCCCACUAUCCCUGACCAUCCCCCCCCUCUCCGCAGGUGUGACCCCGGCGCGGCCGCCCCUCCCGGUGCCCAUCCCUCAGGUGGGCGUGGUUAACCCCAUCCUGGCCAGCCCCCCUGCGCUGGGGCUGGUGGAGGCCAAGAAGGACAAGGAGGAGGAGGAGGCGCUGCCCGAGGCCGAGCGGCCGGAAAUGCUGAGCGAGCAGGAGCACAUGAGC
rnacentral:lncRNA from 12 species